rnacentral:rRNA from 1 species
GACGAACGCUGGCGGCGUGCUUAACACAUGCAAGUCGAACGGUGAAGCGCCUUCCUUUUUGGUGGGUGUGGAUGAGUGGCGAACGGGUGAGUAACACGUGAGUAACCUGCCCCCUUCUUCUGGAUAACCGCAUGAAAGUGUGGCUAAUACGGGAUAUUCUGGGUCUGUCGCAUGAUGGGUCUGGGAAAGAUAUUGUUUCGGUGGGGGAUGGGCUCGCGGCCUAUCAGCUUGUUGGUGGGGUGAUGGCCUACCAAGGCGGUGACGGGUAGCCGGCCUGAGAGGGUGGACGGUCACACUGGGACUGAGACACGGCCCAGACUCCUACGGGAGGCAGCAGUGGGGAGUAUUGCACAAUGGGCGAAAGCCUGAUGCAGCGACGCCGCGUGAGGGAUGGAGGCCUGCGGGUUGUGAACCUCUUUCGCCAGUGAAGCAGGCCUGCCUCGUUUGUGGGUGGGUUGACGGUAGCUGGAGAAGAAGCGCCGGCUAACUACGUG